rnacentral:rRNA from 1 species
AACAAACAGGUCAAGUUAAAGUUAAGACAGUAAAAAAGGGGGUUAAUAAGUUAAUUUGUGAAAAAUAAUAUUUUUUAGGAAGGUAGAAUUUAUAUAAAAAAGGAUAAAUUUAGUAUUUUUCUUCUUUUGAGGCCUCGAAAUUUUGAUGUGAGACCGGGAUUAGAUACCCCGUUAUUUUAAAUGUAAACUUUGGUUGUGUGUGAUUUACUUGAGUACUACGAGAAGUGUGAGAAAUAGUUCUUAUAUGGUUCUUAAAACUCAAAAAACUUGGCGGUGCCUUAAAUCCUUCCAGGGGAACCUGUCCUAUAAUCGAUGGUCCACGAUUUAACUUUCUUUCUUUUGAAUUUAGUGAUCAGCUUGUAUACCGUCGUCGUCAGGUUACCUUUGAGAGUUAUGAAGUUGUCAAUAAGAAUAAUAAGCAAGAGCUUAAGUUGUUUGUGGUUUAGGUUUUAGCUUUUUUAAUUCCAGACGUCAGAUCAAGGUGCAGCUUAUAAGGAAGUAGAGAUGGGUUACAAUAACAAGUUGUUAUGAUGGAUUUUUUGUUGUAAUUAGCAAAAUUGAAGGAGGACUUGGAAGUAAUUAGUUUAAAGAUAAGAGAGCUUAAAUGAAGAUAGGCUAUAGGGUGUGC